rnacentral:rRNA from 1 species
UACGAAGGGGGCUAGCGUUGUUCGGAUUUACUGGGCGUAAAGCGCGCGUAGGCGGUUACUCAAGUCAGAGGUGAAAGCCCGGGGCUCAACCCCGGAACUGCCUUUGAAACUAGGUGACUAGAAUCUUGGAGAGGUCAGUGGAAUUCCGAGUGUAGAGGUGAAAUUCGUAGAUAUUCGGAAGAACACCAGUGGCGAAGGCGGCUCACUGGCCCGGUACUGACGCUGAGACGCGAAAGC